GAUGAACGCUAGCUACAGGCUUAACACAUGCAAGUCGAGGGGCAGCACGAAGAUAGCUUGCUAUCUUGGGUGGCGACCGGCGCACGGGUGAGUAACGCGUAUCCAACCUGCCCAUUACUCUGGGAUAGCCUUGCGAAAGUAAGAUUAAUACCGGAUGUUGUUAAAAGCCCGCAUGAGUUUUUAACCAAAGAUUUAUUGGUAAUGGAUGGGGAUGCGUGACAUUAGGUAGUAGGUGAGGUAACGGCUCACCGAGUCUAUGAUGGAUAGGGGUUCUGAGAGGAAGGUCCCCCACAUUGGAACUGCGACACGGUCCAAACUCCUACGGGAGGCAGCAGUGAGGAAUAUUGGUCAAUGGUCGGAAGACUGAACCAGCCAAGUAGCGUGCAGGAUGACGGCCCUAUGGGUUGUAAACUGCUUUUAUAUUGGGAAUAAAAUACUUACGUGUAAUGUUUGCAUGUACCAUAUGAAUAAGGAUCGGCUAA
rnacentral:rRNA from 1 species